GUACCAGACUCCUACGGGAGGCAGCAGUGAGGAAUAUUGGUCAAUGGCCGCAGGGCUGAACCAGCCAAGUCGCGUGAGGGAUGACGGUCCUAUGGCUUGUAAACCUCUUUUGUCAGGGAGCAAAGGGCGCCACGUGUGGCGCUUUGCGAGUACCUGAAGAAAAAGCAUCGGCUAACUCCGUGCCAGCAGCCGCGGUAAUACGGAGGAUGCGAGCGUUAUCCGGAUUUAUUGGGUUUAAAGGGUGCGCAGGCGGAAUGUCAAGUCAGCGGUAAAAUUUCGGGGCUCAACCCCGUCGUGCCGUUGAAACUGUGUCCCUUGAGUGCGCGAAGGGUAGGCGGAAUGCGUGGUGUAGCGGUGAAAUGCAUAGAUAUCACGCAGAACUCCGAUCGCGAAGGCAGCCUACCGGCGCGCAACUGACGCUCAUGCACGAAAGCGUGGGUAUCGAACAGGAUUAGAUACCCCAGUA
rnacentral:rRNA from 1 species